rnacentral:rRNA from 1 species
GAAAACUUACCAGGUCAAGACAUGGGCGUGAUUGACAGGCUAAUGACUUUUCUCGAUUCCAUGGAUGGUGGUGCAUGGUCGCACUUAGUUGGUGCAGUGAUUUGUCAGGUUUAUUCCGGUAACGAACGAGACCUCGGCCUUGUAAAUAGCUAUGCUGCUUACAGGGACAUUGGCGGCUACGCCAAGGAAGCUCGAGGCAAUUGCAGAUCUGGAAUGCCCUUAGAUGUCCUGGGUCGCACGCGUGCUACAAUGACGCCACGAACGAGCUUGCGUGAUGAAAGUUACGCAUAAUCAGCAGUCGGCGUCCUAAGGGAUAGUCUCUUGUAACUGUGAGACUCCAACUAGGAAUGUCUCGUAAGCACAAGUCAACAUCUUGUGUUGAUUACGUCCCUGCUCUUUGUACACACCGCCCGUCGCUCCUACCGAUCGAGUGUUUAGGUGAAUUUGAUGGACGUAAGGAAGUCAAAUAAACCUGAGCACUAGAGAAGAGAGUCGACAUC